GUCUUGGUAGCUUAAGCUAAAGCAUUGGUCUUGUAAACCAAAGAAUGUAAACUUGUAUUUUACCCAGGACU
rnacentral:tRNA from 1 species